rnacentral:lncRNA from 1 species
GUUUUACUCACCAAUCCUGCCUUCAUUCCCUCUCUCAUUUCCAUUUUUCAGUGCUUCAUCUUACUACGCAAUGCUUAGUGCUCUAGCCCCCAGAAACAAGUUGUUUCCAGGGGAAUAAAACAAAAAGAAAAAUGAAGAAACAAACAAAACCAAACCAAAAAAUCCACAUCUAUUUUUCUAUCUCUCAUGUGUGUAUUAAAAGAAUGUUUUUCACUUUCAUGGUUUCAGGGAAAACGUGAUAACAUGGUCCCAGUGCGUGUUCCCCAUAAGCUCAAAAUCCAGAAGUUUGAAGAUCCUGAUUUCUAAUCUUGGGUUGUGACUUCAGCAGUGCUGCCACAAGGAUAUAGCUAUCGACCCCGUGUUGCAUCUGCCACAACAGUGGGACUCUUGUAUCCGUGAUGUGUUUCAAUGGCAUUGCAUGGCCAUGUGUAUCAUGGCUGAACGUAUCUCCAGUUACUCUGUCAGAGAAGUGUCAAAAAGAAAAGGCUAAUAGGAAUAUCUGCUACAUACCCUUUCAUAUCCUCUGAAAGAAUCUCAUCACAUGUAUGGAUUUAGUGAACAUGCACUGUCAGUUGAUGCAAGAAGAAUUAGCAGUCAUCCACAGAGAGCCUCUGUUCUCAGAUGAGGCCUGUGUGUCAAUUCAUAAAACGGGAAGCCAUCUCUGGUAUCACUGUGCAAUGUUCAGUUUUAAUAAACAUUUAAUUGAUCCAAGUGCUUACUUCAUUGUUGAAAUGUGCCAUGUUGUAUCACAUAGGAUACUUGAUAUCUGAUACUUGAAAUCUUUAGUUAUGCAAGGAAACGGCAAUAAAUAAGGAUAAAUUAAAUGUAAUGGUUAAAGU